rnacentral:rRNA from 2 species
UACGUAGGGGGCGAGCGUUGUCCGGAAUCAUUGGGCGUAAAGCGCGUGUAGGCGGCUUGGUAAGUCUGGUGUGAAACCUUGGGGCUCAACCCCAAGCCUGCACUGGAUACUGCCUGGCUUGAGUCCGGGAGGGGAGAGCGGAAUUCCUAGUGUAGCGGUGAAAUGCGCAGAUAUUAGGAAGAACACCGGUGGCGAAGGCGGCUCUCUGGAACGGUACUGACGCUGAGACGCGAAAGCGUGGGGAGCGAACAGG